rnacentral:rRNA from 1 species
GUUCCUACGGGGCGCAGCAGUGGGGAAUAUUGGGCAAUGGGCGCAAGCCUGACCCAGCAAUGCCGCGUGAAGGAAGAAGGCUUUCGGGUUGUAAACUUCUUUGACAGGGGAAGAGCAGAAGACGGUACCCUGAAAACAAGCCACGGCUAACUACGUGCCAGCAGCCGCGGUAAUACGUAGGUGGCAAGCGUUAUCCGGAUUUAAUGGGUGUAAAGGGCGUGUAGGCGGGAAAGCAAGUCAGAUGGGA